CAUGUGGUGGGAGGAGCUCGCUGAGAGGAAAAGGAAGUCAUGUCACAGGAAAUGCUGAGAGAGCAGUAGUAGCAGUUAUGGCAGAUAGAGCUGAGAGAAGGAGCAGACAUGUGCCGUGCUGUCAGUUUGCUUGUUGGUGACAAGGCCCCAGAAGCAGAUGUCACCUUUGGACCUGUCCAUAACUGUGAUGUGUCAUCCCUGGACCUGACAACUGUGAUGUGUCAUCCCUGGACCUGGCAUUGACUGAGUCCCGGAUGCCAGCUAAAGAACGGACUUCUGAAAUAGGACUCUCUACCUCUUGGAGCAGGGACAGCUCCACAUCCAAUUUUAGCAGGAAGAAGCUAUGGAUGACAAGACCUUUGCCUCUUACCCCAAGAUUUUGAGCCCCAUUCAUUCAAGAUGGAAAUGGAAAAUAAUGAGAUGGAAGACAAUCAGACUCCUAGCACAUUGGGCAAACAUGUUCUUCAUGUAGCAGGUUGGGAAAAAGUAGAAGACGUCUCCCAAAUAUCAAGAUAUUUUCAGAUCUGGCCAACUUCUCCCAUAUGUCCUUCAUCAGUCAGCCUUUAAACUCAUUCUCUUCACUUGUUCGCCCAAGUUUUGAGGACUCUAGGGGACUAUUUAGAUAAUUUAUGUCUCUUUAGGAAACUGACAAUAGCUUUUUCGUGAAUUAGCUCAAACUCCAAACCAAGUUAAUAAAAUAUUACUUUUUUAAUCAAUAAAGAAACCCUCCUUUCUCCAUCAGUUACUCUUAUUUCUAGGUGAUUAAAUAUUAUAAUUAAGGAAUAUGUGCUAUUGACAGAUGAAAACAAUCAUAAAGCAAAGGCAUAAGAUGUUUUGGCCAUGAGACAUCCUACUCAGAGCCACUUCAAGCCCUCAG